CAGCGCGGGGGCGUGGCCACCCGCGUGAUUGACAGCGGGGGGGCGUGGCCACCGCGGGCGCGGCGGUUGGAGCCGCCGGGGGGCGAUGUGAGACCUUUGGGGACAUUUGGGGACAUUUUGGGGACAAUUUGGGGACUUUUGGGUGGGUUCGGGCCCCCAAAUUCCCACCUCCCCCCUGCCCCGCCCCCCUCGUGUCGCGGUGUCCCCAAAAGUGUCGCGGUGCCACCUCCAGCCCGCUGGCGUUGGCCCCGGGAAGGCGGUGCCGCCGCUGUGGCGGUUGGCGCUGUCCUGGUGCCACCCCCGGUCCUGGUGCCACCCCCCUUGCCGGUGUCCCCUCCCCGGUGUCCCUGUCCCGUUGUGCCCUGUCCUGGUGCCACCCCCGCUCCCGGUGCCACCGUUGUGGCGGUUGGCGCUGUCCCGGUGCCACCCCUGGUCCUGGUGCCACCCCCGGUGUCCUCUUCCCGCUCCUGGUGUCCCUGUCCCGGUGCCACCCCCGGUCCCGGUGUCCCUUUCCCAGUGCCAUCCCCUGUCCCCUUGUCCCCAUCCCGGUGUCCGUUUCCCGGUGCCACCCUCAGUCCCGGUGUCCCCUCCCCGGUGUCCCCCAUUCCCGGUGUCCCGGUGCCACUCCCGUGCCCCUUGUCCCUUUCCCGGUGUCCCAGUCCCGGUGUCCCUUUCCCGGUGCCACCCCCAGUCCCGGUGCCGCCGUUGUGGCAGUUGUCGCUGUCCCGGUGCCACCCCCGCUCCCGGUGUCCCCUCCCCGGUGUCACCCCUGUCCCGGUGUCCCUGUCCAGGUGCCACCCCCGGUCCCGGUGCCAUCCCCGCUCCCGGUGUCCCUGUCCCGGUGUUGCUGUCUCGGUGCCACCGUUGUGGCAGUUGUCGCCGUCCCAGUGCCAUCCCCAUUCCCGGUGUCCCUGUCCCGGUGCCAUCCCCAGUCCCGGUGCCACCCCCUCUCCCGGUGUCCCCAUCCCGGUGUCCUUUUCUCGGUGUCCCCAUCCCGGUGUCCUUUUCUCGGUGUCCCCAUCCCCGUUUGUCCCCUCCCCGGUGCCACCCCCGGUCCUGGUGUCCCUGUCCCUGUGUCCCUUUCCCGGUGUCCCCAUCCCGGUGUCCGUUUCCCAGUGCCAUCCCCGCUCCCGGUGUCACCCCCGGUGCCACCUCCGCUCCCGGUGUCCCGGUGUCCCCCUUUCCCGCUGUCCCAUUCCCGGUGUCCCUUGUCCCGGUGCCACCCCCGUUCCCAGUGUCCAGGUCCCGGUGCCACCUCCAGUCCCGUUGUCCCCUCCCUGUUGCCAUCCCCGCUCCCGGUGUCCCCUUCCCGGUGUCACCCCCGCUCCCGGUGUCCCUUUCCCGGUGUCCCCAUCCCGGUGUCCCUGUCCCGGUGCCACCCCCUGUCCCGGUGUCCCCCCCCUCCCCGGUGCCACCCCCGGUCCCGGUGUCCCUGUCCCGGUGCCACCCCCUGUCCCGGUGCCACCGUUGUGGCGGUUGUCACCUCUCCGGUGCCACCCCCGGUGCCGGUGUCCCCAUCCCGGUGUCACCCCCGGUCCCGGUGUCCCUUUUCCGGUGUCCCAUCCCCGGUCCCCGUGUCCCCAUCCCGGUGUCCCUGUCCCGGUGCCACCGUUGUGGCAGUUGUCGCCGUCCCGGUGCCACCCCCGAUCCCGGUGUCCCCUUCCCGGUGUCCCCAUCCCGGUGUCCCCAUCCCGGUGUCCCCUCCCCGGUGCCACCCCCUGUCCCGGUGUCCCUGUCCCGGUGCCGCCGUUGUGGCGGUUGUCACCUCUCCGGUGCCACCCCCGGUCCCGGUGUCCCCUUCCCGGUGCCACCCCCGGUCCCGGUGUCCCUGUCCCGGUGUCCCUGUCCCGGUGUCGCUGUCCCGGUGCCACUCCGGUGUCCCGUGUCCCUGUCCCCGGUGCCACCCCCCGUGCCGGUGUCCCCAUCCCGGUGUCCCCAUCCCGGUGUCCCCUCCUCGGUGUCAUCCCCGCUCCCGGUAUCACCCCCGGUGUCCCUGUCCCGGUGCCACCGCUGUGGCGGUUGUCGCUGUCCUGGUGCCAACCCGCUCCCGGUGUCCCUUUCCCGGUGUCCCCUGUCCUGGUGCCACCCCCGGUCCCGGUGCCACCCCCGGUCCCGGUGUCUCUGUCCCGGUGCCACCCCCGGUCCUGGUGUCCCUGUCCCGGUGCCGCUGUCCCUGUCCCCGUGUCCCCAUCCCGGUGUCCCUUUCCCCGGUGCCACCCCCGGUGCCGGUGUCCCUUUCCCGGUGUCCCCAUCCCGGUGUCCCUGUCCCGGUGCCACCCUCGGUCCCGGUGCCACCCCUGUCCCUGUCUCCGCUGCCACGUGCCCAUUCCCGGUGUCCUCAUCCCGGUGUCCCAUUCCCGGUGCCACUUCCGCUCCCGGUGUCCCCAUCCCGGUGUCCCCUCCCCGGUGUCCCCUCCCCGGUCCCGGUGCCACCCCCGUGCCCCUUGUCCCUGUCCCGGUGCCAGUCCCAUUCCCGGUACCUCCCCGCUGUCCCAUCCCCGUUUGUCCCCGCUCCCGGUGUCCCCAUCCCGGUGUCCCAUUCCCGGUGUCCCCUCCCCGGUGCCACCCCAGGUCCCGGUGUCCCGGUGCCACCCCUGUCCCCGUGCCCCUUGUCCUCGUGCCCGUUCCCGCCCCGCCCCCGCCGCCCGUUGCCCGUUGCCCGUUGCUCUCGGCCCGGUGCCCGUUGCCCUUCGCCCCUCGCCCGUUGCUCCGGGCCCGGUGCCGCUGCCGCUUCUCACGCACCGGGACAGCGGCUCCGUUCCUACCGGGACAGCGGCUCCAUCCCUCCGAUGGGACACCCCGUUCGUUCCCGGUAGGGACGCUCCGUUCUUACCGGUGGGACUCUCCGUUCUUUACCGGGAGCGGCUCCGUUCUUCCCGGGAGCGGCUCCAUCCCUCCGAUGGGACACCCCGUUCCUUCCCGGUAGGGACGCUCCGUUCUUUACCGGUGGGACUCUCCGUUCUUUACCGGGAGCGGCUCCGUUCUUACCGGGAGCGGGUUCGUUCUUACCGGGAGCGGCUCCGUUCUUACCGGGGACGCUCCGUCCCUCCGGUGGGACGCUCCGUUCUUACCGGGGACGCUCCGUUUUUACCGGGGACGCUCCAUCCCUCUGGUGGGACGCUCCGUUCUUUACCGGGGUCGGCUCCUUUUUUACCGGUGGGACGCUCCGUUCCUUACCGGGACGUUCCGUUUUUUACCGGGGCGGUGCCGCCGCUCCCCCCGCGCUGUCCUCGGUAUCCUGCUGUCCCGGUGUCCCGGUGUCCCUCUGUCCCGGUGUCGCUGUCCCGCUGUCCCUGUCCCGCUGUCCCCAUCCCGGUGUCCCUGUCCCGGUCUCCCCGUGUCCCGCUGUCCCGGUGGUGUCCCGGUCCCCGCGGGCUCUGA
rnacentral:lncRNA from 1 species